AUGAACGCUGGCGGCGUGCCUAAUACAUGCAAGUCGAGCGAACAGACGAGGAGCUUGCUCCUCUGACGUUAGCGGCGGACGGGUGAGUAACACGUGGAUAACCUACCUAUAAGACUGGGAUAACUUCGGGAAACCGGAGCUAAUACCGGAUAAUAUAUUGAACCGCAUGGUUCAAUAGUGAAAGACGGUUUUGCUGUCACUUAUAGAUGGAUCCGCGCCGCAUUAGCUAGUUGGUAAGGUAACGGCUUACCAAGGCGACGAUGCGUAGCCGUCCUGAGAGGGUGAUCGGCCACACUGGAACUGAGACACGGUCCAGACUCCUACGGGAGGCAGCAGUAGGGAAUCUUCCGCAAUGGGCGAAAGCCUGACGGAGCAACGCCGCGUGAGUGAUGAAGGUCUUCGGAUCGUAAAACUCUGUUAUUAGGGAAGAACAAAUGUGUAAGUAACUAUGCACGUCUUGACGGUACCUAAUCAGAAAGCCACGGCUAACUACGUG
rnacentral:rRNA from 1 species